GGCGUAGGGCGCGAGCGUUUGUCCGGAUUUAUUGGGCGUAAAGAGCUCGUAGGCGGCUUGUCGCGUCGUCCGUGAAAACUUGGGGCUCAACCCCAAGCUUGCGGUCGAUACGGGCAGGCUAGAGUUCGGUAGGGGAGACUGGAAUUCCUGGUGUAGCGGUGAAAUGCGCAGAUAUCAGGAGGAACACCGGUGGCGAAGGCGGGUCUCUGGGCCGAUACUGACGCUGAGGAGCGAAAGCGUGGGGAGCGAACAGG
rnacentral:rRNA from 1 species